GUAAAAGUAGUAACUUUCAAAGCAAUGUCUACAAGUUUAAAUUCCUUAACCCUGUUCAAGGUGUAUACACACUCAAUAUUUAACUACAGUCCAGGUUUGCAAUUAACAAACUAUCUGAAAAGCCUGUGUGUGAGUCAGAUGUGUCUGCGGCUAAUCUAUUGGUUAUAAAAUAUCACAGCCUUUUCUGAUUGGCUGAGUUCAAAUACAGAAAGUUUACCUGUUAGAUUGAAAUUAUGGAGAAGGCGUAUUGAAGAAAAAAUGCAGGUUAAACUUGUUGUUAAAAUGAAGUUAAUGUAAUUUCACAAACAGUAGAGUUUAACUUAAUGAGUUUUUUCCAUUAACAAGAAUUUCUUAAAAUAAUAAUGUAUGGAUAUCAUUUGGAAAGUGACAUGAAAUGUUGUUAAAAAGUGAUGCAUACAAGUGUUUCAGAAGUCUGUCUAGGAAUAGAACAACAACUGAAGGUUUGUGCUUUUCAUUAUUUCUAAAUAUUCCUUUAAAUUUAUUCUUCUUAUGUCAUCAUUGUAGACCUUUUUUAUGUGACAUUUUAGGUAAAAGUAUGGCAAAUAUAGAAGUUUAAAAGCAGCUGUCACACACAUUUUCACUAAGUGCAGUUUGCAGCUUGAUAAAGGAAGUCCUAUGUGGAGAUAUUAAUAAGCUUGAAUGUAGUAUCGGAAGUUUAUAAUGCAUGGCUAGGGAACUGAGGCUAAGGGAGUUAUGUGCUGUGCAUGAUGAGAACUCAAUGCUCAUUAAUGCUGUUAAUGUUUAUAAAUAAAUUAAUUAAACCAAUAGCAUUGUUUUUUAGGUUUCACUGUACAUUUUCAUACCAAUAGAAUUACACAUCAUUCUAAUUAUAGCAAUAAUAAAUUUGUACUAAUCAUACCUACAAAUUUUGUUAUGCUAUGCUUUGUGAUGUAUUAACUUCAUUGUAAGUUAUUAUUUAAAGACAAUUUUACUAAAUAUUUAAAACAAUACUUGAAUUAUUUUCUAUAUACAUUUUCAUUAUGUGCUUUAACUGUAGCUGACCAGUUGAUGGAAGAUACUGCAGAGUUUGGCAGGGACAUAACCCAAGACAGCAAAGCGGCUCUUUUUGCGCAUUUACCAAGAGGACUAACAUGGCCACAAAUUCAUGAGAUCAUGCAGGAGCCGUACAGUAUAACAGCAGUACAAGUUCUAUAAAAGAUCCACGACCUACUGAAGCCCAGCUAAUUAACAAAAAAGUUUUUAAAAACUGUAAUUUUAUCCCACCUGGGUACUUAUAAUUUACUAACUGUCACUUGGAAAGUAAUACAUGUACAUGCAUUCAUGUUCUGAAUUUCUUUGAACAAUAAAAUUAUAUAAAAGUAUUUUAAUGAAAUUGAGCACCUAAAUUGCAUUAAAGUGAAAGUAGCUGAGAAAAAUAGUAGUGCUGCAACAAUACGCCAAAAACCGUAUUGCAAUAUAUUGUCAGCUCAAAAACCCGUAUUGCAAUAUAUCGCAAUAUAUUGAUAACUUGUACCAAAAUUAUAACUUGCCAAUUACCCAAUAAUCCCAUAAAUUCCAAUUUUAAAGCAAAUUCCGGUAAAUAUUUACUAUAAAUGUGCUCAAGAAUAAUAAGAAACACAAACAUUUGCAAAUUUUCUUAAGUAUCAAAUACAAUUUUGCAAUUGUUACUAUUUAAAGAUGUGAUGAAAUAACGUCCAACCGGGGCGUUUUUCCCACUGAACACGCGUAAUUCAGCUGACGUGAUGUUCCCGUUUUUAUACAACACAAAAUACACCCAUACUUUCCAUGCGACGUUCUACAUGUCUGUAUAAUUUUCGCGCGCUUUUUAUUGAGACAAAGGAUAAAGCACUUUUUAUUUGACGCUAUAAUUUUUUAUUGUCGCGUUAGCAUUCAAAUUUGGAAGCGUGUUUCCGAAAUUCGGAUUACAAAUAAUGCUCAAAUCAGAAUCGAACGAAACAUUUACAGCUGUGCGCAAUUAAUUCAACGAUAAUCUGUUCAAAAGCAUCGAAUGAAUGCUCCCAUGUAACAACGCUACUCCGUAUAAUACACUUUUUAGAAUGCUUUUUUUACAUAAAAAAUAAUUUACACUGCUUUGUUUUGUUUACCUUUUUAUCAUUAAUUCGGAUGGCUUUUCUGGACGAAAUGUGAAUGAAUUUUUGUAAAAUUUUCGUACCGGUAUGAUGAAAAUCAUAUCGCAAUACAAUAUGCGGAUUGCGUAUUGCGAUAUAUACCGAUAUACCGGUAUAUUGUUGCAGCCCUAAAAAAUAGUAUCCUUAAUUGUUCUCAUGGGCAGCUACAUAUAUUGUGACAAACAUGAAGUAGCUAAAAUAACUUAAAUUUUUCAUUUUGUUUCUUGUAUAUCGUUUGUACAGGGUUCGUGAAUUGUUACUGUAUAUUACUUGACUUGCUUGUAUUUUGUUACUUUGAAUACAUGUUGUUAAGGUUGCAUUAUACUUUUUAACUUUUAAAGUAGCGCCUGUUCUGUUAUGUAAGGGCCUGAUUUAUGAUAAUGGACCUAGAGGCUUUGUAAGCAUGUAUUAAACAACACUUGUUUGAUCUGAAUAAUUUGUUAAAUAAAUGUAACACAAUU